UACGUAGGGUGCGAGCGUUGUCCGGAAUUAUUGGGCGUAAAGAGCUCGUAGGCGGUGUGUUGCGUCGGGCGUGAAAACCUGCAGCUUAACUGUGGGCUUGCGGUCGAUACGGGCAUCACUGGAGUUCGGCAGGGGAGACUGGAAUUCCUGGUGUAGCGGUGAAAUGCGCAGAUAUCAGGAGGAACACCGGUGGCGAAGGCGGGUCUCUGGGCCGAUACUGACGCUGAGGAGCGAAAGCGUGGGGAGCGAACAGG
rnacentral:rRNA from 1 species